rnacentral:rRNA from 1 species
CUGCCCAGUGAUUAAAUUUAAACGGCCGCGGUAUCCUAACCGUGCAAAGGUAGCAUAAUCACUUGCCUAUUAAUUGUAGGCUAGAAUGAAUGGAUAAACGUAAUAAAUACUGUCUCAAUUAUUAUUUUAUAAAUUAACGUUUACACGAAGAGUGGUAAAUGGGUUCGAAGGACAAGAAGACCCUAUAGAGCUUUAUUUUGAAUAUGAAGUCUUAUCAUAUAAAAAUUCGGUUGGGGCGACCGGGGGUCUAAUAAAACACCCCCAAUAAAAGUGAUAAGUUAAUCUUAAUAGUGACCCUAAAAAGAUCAUACGAACAAGCUACCUUAGGGAUAACAGGCUAAUCCUAUUUAAGAGUCCAUAUCUACAAUAGGGUUUGGCACCUCGAUGUUGGCUUAGGGAAUCUCCUUAGCGCAAAAGUUAAGAAAAGAUGGUUUGUUCAACCAGUAACCCCU